GAUGUAGAACGCAGCGAAAUGCGAUAAGUAAUGUGAAUUGCAGAAUUCAGUGAAUCAUCGAAUCUUUGAACGCACAUUGCGCCCGCCAGUAUUCUGGCGGGCAUGCCUGUUCGAGCGUCAUUUCAACCAUCAAGCCCCAGGCUUGUGUUGGGGACCUGCGGCUGCCGCAGGCCCUGAAAACCAGUGGCGGGCUCGCUGUCACACCGGGCGUAGUAGAUUUUAUCUCGCUCAGGGCGUGCUGCGGGUUCCGGCCGUUAAAAAGCCUUUUUUACCCAAGGUUGACCUCGGAUCAGGUAGGAAGACCCGCUGAACUUAAGCAUAUCAAUAAGCGGAGGA
rnacentral:misc_RNA from 1 species